rnacentral:lncRNA from 1 species
AACCAGAAUGUUCAGAAGCAGCUGGAGGCCCCCCUACAGCAAGCUGAGACCAGACAGAGCAAUGUAAUUCAGAGAGACCAGCAGGGUCCUCCUCCAAUGCCAACAGAAAUGAACAAACAGGGAGACAAAGGGAAACAUGCACAAUCUCUAGAGUUCAACCUUACAAAAUUUCCUCCUCUAUCUCCUAUUGUGGUGAGUAAUAGAUUUGAACUAAUGUCUAUUAGUAGGGCUGAGAAUCCUCCAGAUGAAGGGGACCUAGUAGUUAUCAAUGAAGUGGUUAAUAUGGAACAUUAGGGGUGUAAAUAAAAAGGUAUAAACAGAAGGAAGCUAGGGAAUAUAUUAGG